UACAGAGGGUGCAAGCGUUGUUCGGAAUUAUUGGGCGUAAAGCGCGUGUAGGCGGCAGUGCAAGUCGGGUGUGAAAGCCCUCAGCUCAACUGAGGAAGUGCGCCCGAAACUGCAUUGCUUGAGUACCGGAGAGGAUGGUGGAAUUCCCGAAGUAGAGGUGAAAUUCGUAGAUAUCGGGAGGAACACCGGUGGCGAAGGCGACCAUCUGGACGGAUACUGACGCUGAGACGCGAAAGCGUGGGAUAGCAAACAGG
rnacentral:rRNA from 1 species